UACGUAGGGGGCAAGCGUUGUCCGGAAUCAUUGGGCGUAAAGCGCGUGUAGGCGGCCCGAUAAGUCCGCCGUGAAAGUCCAGGGCUCAACCCUGGGAUGCCGGUGGAUACUGUCGGGCUCGAGUCCGGAAGAGGAGUGUGGAAUUCCUGGUGUAGCGGUGAAAUGCGCAGAUAUCAGGAGGAACACCAAUGGCGAAGGCAGCACUCUGGGACGUGACUGACGCUGAGACGCGAAAGCGUGGGGAGCAAACAGG
rnacentral:rRNA from 1 species